CACGUCAGCGCGACCUGCUGACGUGGAAGGAAAUCGUUCCCUCAAGGACGCGAUUUCCUUCCACGUCAGUAGGUCGUGCUGACGUGG
rfam:Gossypium raimondii Chr01_contig_1254, whole genome shotgun sequence.